GCCCGACGAAGCUUUAUGUCUUUCCCAAAAGCCUUCCGGUUUGAUUAUGUAAACGGAAUGAAUUUUCAACGGAAAGCUCUCCUAAAGAUCCCCACAAAGUUAAGAUUGCUAAAUGAGGGCAAUCGUGAACCAUCCGCAUGGUGGAGAAUUCAACUUUAUCAUGUCCUUUGUUCCAACGCUAAAUUUUUGUUGCGUGAAGCACGAAAAGCCAAGUCCAUGAUAAGAUUUAAAUGUAAUUACCUUGUAAAUCAAUCAAAUGGAACGCUAAUAAUCAUAUCUUUGAUGCCAGCUAA